GUUAUUUGCGUAUAGGUAUUGCUUUUGAAGGGCAUUCCAUGUGCGCCAUUAAUAUUAACACCUAACAAUAAUUGUCAUUUUUUUGUGGUCAUUCCAUUAGCCCUCUUGGUCUGCUGUAGACAUUUUUUUGGACAUCAUCACAUACUUAGCUAUGUGGCACGUAAUCUAGAGCAACUAGAUGUAGUAAGUUCAUUCUUUAUAGGAUAUGUGCAACUUGUCUUAAAUUGCUUGAGAGAAUGUAGAUUUGUCCAUAUGGCCUGAGGAUAAUUUUUGAGAAUUGAUAUUCACUCUACUUUAAACUUCUCACACUUCAAUUUUUGUCUUUUGGCCUUUCACAAGGGGAGUGUGAAAGGCUAAAUGUGGAAUGUUAACAGCAUCACUUUUAAUUUCUUAGACACAAGAAUCUGGCUACCUAUUAAUACAAGAGCUGAUCACUGCUCAAUAGUUGUUCAAUACAUCUCCAAAACCAAAUUUUUUUUGUCCUUGAUUCAACUUUUAAGCAUCAUAGUUCCUCAACCCUAGUACCCUAGCUUACAAAAGAUCACAAAGGCACAAUGGAGAAAGGAUAAAUGCACAGAGUUUUUUCAUAGAAGAGACACGAAGAGUGGGCCCAGAUGUGGAUCCUACACUUUGUCUCUCUUCUGUUCUGUGCAAAAAUUCUAUUCUGUGCAUGUAGCACAAAUGGGCACAAGGUCACUGUUCAUGGGUACUGAUCAUAUUGCCCACUACAACCCUCAAACAGCCACUACAACCUUGUGUUCUCAGCCACAAAAGCCAAUCAAAUUCAGCCAGUGUAUCUCACUCACUCUACAUCAAUUGUAAACUUGCAAUUGCUCUUUAAGGUUUUAGUGAACUUUAACUUAGAGGAGUACUCGACUCUUAGCACACACAAUGAAUGCUGUCAAUGUCUCUUGGUAGUUGUACCAGAAACCAGGAAUUGGCUCCUAACUUCAUUAUAGACUUUCGUUGGUAAAAAGGAGUAGGGGAAGAGGGUGUCAUGGGUGGGGGAGGAUCCAGGAAAUGGCUCCUAACUUCAUUAUAACCGUCAAAGGAUUAUUAGCAGCCACUUGAUGUUAGCAAUGAAUUUAACAUUCUUGAAAGUUUAUUUGGCUUCGAUUGAGAUCUUCAUCAUAUGCGUUUUAAUCUAUCAUUUGUUAAAUAUGUAAAUCUUAAUUAAGAUAUAUCUUAAGCAUAUGAUUUUUUUUAUCACUCAAACACUCUAGUGCCUCUAAAUUUCCUUUGAUAUGCAGAGUUUGAAAAAUUUUGCUAUUUUGUUUCUGAUAUUUCUAUAUUGGUACUUUUGAAGCAAGUGAUGAUGAUGCAUUGUUAUUCUUUGCUUCUGCUAUUGAUGGAUUAACUUUAACUCUAGGGAUGCUACUUUAACAUACAAAGCUGACGCUUUGGAAUUGCAGAGACAGCUUAGGUAACUGCAGACUUAGUAUGAUAUGCUCUCUGGUUAAGCUUCAACUUUGAUCUAAGGAAGAAGGACACGAGUUGCAGCAACAUCUAGUGUGCUUAAGAAUACCAAUAUGAGACUUAAAGACACUGUUAAUCAGGUGAUUGGGCCAGUAUUUUCUACAGAUUGAACCAAUUUGUGUUCCAGGGGUGGGGUGGGGGGCAGGAAAUUUCUAUACUUGGAAUAGGCGGAAGUGGGGGUUUGUCUAUUAAUGGAAUUGCGACAUACCAACCGUUCGAUGGAAUGCCAGAACUAAAAGAGAUUAUGGUGCUUUUGAAGAUCUACUGUGGGGAUGCUUGGGAGAAGAUAUGUGAAGCAAUUGAUAAUAUUCCUCUUAGUUGCCUUGUUAUAGGGAACCGAGGCCUCGGCAAGCUCAAGAGGUUAAUUAUUUUGAAAUUAAUUUUUGAUUAUAAUUUAAAUCUACUAUUCUGCAAUGUUGAACCA